GACGAACGCUGGCGGCGUGCUUAACACAUGCAAGUCGAACGGAAAGGCCCUGCUUUUGUGGGGUGCUCGAGUGGCGAACGGGUGAGUAACACGUGAGUAACCUGCCCUUGACUUUGGGAUAACUUCAGGAAACUGGGGCUAAUACCGGAUAGGAGCUCCUGCUGCAUGGUGGGGGUUGGAAAGUUUCGGCGGUUGGGGAUGGACUCGCGGCUUAUCAGCUUGUUGGUGGGGUAGUGGCUUACCAAGGCUUUGACGGGUAGCCGGCCUGAGAGGGUGACCGGCCACAUUGGGACUGAGAUACGGCCCAGACGCCUACGGGAGGCAGCAGUGGGGAAUAUUGCACAAUGGGCGGAAGCCUGAGGCAGCAACGCCGCGUGCGGGAUGACGGCCUUCGGGUUGUAAACCGCUUUCGCCUGUGACGAAGCGUGAGUGACGGUAAUGGGUAAAGAAGCACCGGCUAACUACGUG
rnacentral:rRNA from 1 species